UGUUUUGCCUUCAGAGCGUAUCCUCGGGCAGGAGACAACACUGCUACAAACUGGCUCAGGGGUCAAGGGACAGGAGUACAGACACAACAUUUACUUUACAUCAAAAAUACUAAAUCUAUGAAGCGACAUCAUCAGAAAAUCAGAAACAUAUUUGCGCAUGUUGGCGACAGAAGUGGCACAUCACCCCGGCUGUCAAACCAGACCUCCAGCAGCUGUUUGUGCCUAAAGAAGAGUGGCAGGACGACCCAGAGCCCCCCUAUAUUAAAGAGUAUACAGGUCCAGAUGGACCUUCAGUACCAGAACUGAUGCGAUGAUUUGAAUGAGACCAGAGAUCCUCAAU
ensembl:lncRNA